GGCUACACCCACUAACACAAAGUUUGUGCACUUCUCCAAGUCCUUUGGCAUCCAUUCCUCUCCAGUCUUUAGACAGAGCAAGAAUGAUCCUGUGGCUCAAUGUGUUAUCCUUACUAGCAGUCCUCAAAGGUGUCCGAUCUCAGGCCCAGUUGGUGGAGUCUGGGGGAGAUGUGAAAAGACCUGGAGAGACCCUCCAGAUCUCCUGCCAAGCUUCUGGAUUUACCUUCAGCAGCUACGGCAUGCACUGGGUGAGGCAGGCUCCAGGAAAAGGACUGGAAUGGGUUGCAGGCAUCUAUACUGAUUCCAGUGGAAAGUUCUACUCAGACAAAGUGAAGGGACGCUUCACCAUUUCCAGGGACAAUGCCAAAAGCCAGCUGUAUCUGCAGAUGAACAGCCUCAAACCAGAGGACUCAGGCAUCUAUUACUGUGCAGGAGACACAGUGAGAGAAAGUGAAUCUGACACCAGGCAAAAACGUUCUCUUCUUUUGAGCAACUUUCCAAACUGA